rnacentral:rRNA from 1 species
CCUACGGGAGGCUGCAGUGAGGAAUAUUGGUCAAUGGACGAGAGUCUGAACCAGCCAAGUAGCGUGAAGGAUGACUGUCCUAUGGGUUGUAAACUUCUUUUAUAUGGGAAUAAAAUGUUCCACGUGUGGGCUUUUGUAUGUACCUUAUGAAUAAGGAUCGGCUAACUCCGUGCCAGCAGCCGCGGUAAUACGGAGGGUCCGAGCGUUAUCCGGAUUUAUUGGGUUUAAAGGGUGCGUAGGGGGAUUGUUAAGUCAGUUGUGAAAGUUUGGGGCUCAACCGUAAAAUUGCAGUUGAAACUGGCAGUCUUGAGUACAGUAGAGGUGGGCGGAAUGCGUGGUGUAGCGGUGAAAUGCUUAGAUAUCGCGAAGAACUCCGAUUGCGAAGGCAGCUCACUGGACUGAAACUGACACUGAGGCACGAAAGUGUGGGUAUCAAACAGGAUUAGAUACCCGUGUAGUC